AUUGAACGCUGGCGGCAGGCCUAACACAUGCAAGUCGAACGAGUGGCGGACGGGUGAGUAAUGUCUGGGAAACUGCCUGAUGGAGGGGGAUAACUACUGGAAACGGUAGCUAAUACCGCAUACCAUAAGAUGUGCCCAGAGGGGAUGAGCGAGUUGGUGGGUUAACGCCUCACCAAGGCGACGAGCCCUAGCUGGUCUGAGAGGAUGACCAGCCACACUGGGACUGAGACACGGUCCAUACUCCUACGGGAGGCAGCAUUGGGUAAUAUUGCACAAUGGGCGAAAGCCUGAUGCAUCCAUGCCGCGUGGAGGAAGAAGGCCUUCGGGUUGUAAAGUACUUUCAGCGGGGAGGCGUUACCCGCAGAAGAAGCACCGGCUAACUCCGUGCCAGCCGCCGCGGUAAUAC
rnacentral:rRNA from 1 species